CACUUGGCUUAUCCAAUAAAUCAAUUGGAUUUGAUCCAAUCAAGCCCAAACCAAAUCUAAUUAAAUUAUAUUCAAUUAGACUUAAUCUCAGCCCAUUGGCUUAAUCAAAUUAAGCCAAUUAGCAAUCGAAUUGCUAAUCGAUCCUCCUGCAACACUUGCACUAGGUUAAAUGUCAAUCGUAUUGAUCGUUUAACCCUAAAAUGAUUCUUAAUCGUUGAUCAACCAUC
rnacentral:lncRNA from 1 species